AAAUUGAAGAGUUUGAUCAUGGCUCAGAUUGAACGCUGGCGGCAGGCCUAACACAUGCAAGUCGAACGGUAGCACAGAGAGCUUGCUCUCGGGUGACGAGUGGCGGACGGGUGAGUAAUGUCUGGGAAACUGCCUGAUGGAGGGGGAUAACUACUGGAAACGGUGGCUAAUACCGCAUAACGUCG
rnacentral:rRNA from 6 species